CUUGGAUCGACCAAGGCAGAAGAAAAAAGAGGGAAAACCCUUUUGAUCAGAAAUCAACAAAAUUAGAAGGGGAAAUCAAAGCCAAACUAAUGCAUGAACCCUAAUUUCUAAUCAUCUAAGCUUGUUUAUCAAAGUGGUAUAAAGGAAGAAGGUUCGAGUCAUUCGAAGCAACAAGGAAAUCAGGACCAAGGUAAGGCUCAACUUUAGAGGCUUAUGACGCUUGGAACGAAUACACUAGAAUUCCUCGCCCAUGACACGCUUCCGAUCUUAUCGUUGCAAACGGCUCGACUUUUGUUAUGAAAACUUUAAAGUGUGGUUGUUAGUUUAGUUUACUAAAAACAUAUGUUUUAUAACCUUUUGUAAAUGUCGAAUGUUUUGUAUCUAGUUUGAAAUGGUUAACUCUACAAGUAU